GUGGGACUACGACGCGGAAGAGCCCGCUGAGUUUUCUUUCCUAGAGAGGCUGCCGCUCGUCUGCUGUUAAGGGAGUCGGAAGCUGCCUUCUCCCCUACUCUGGUUGGGCAAGGACGUUUGCUUUUUAAGGCUGCAACCCUAUAAACGCCAAUUUGGGAGUAAGUCCCUGAAUCGGAGGGAUUUAGUUCUGAGUGUGCGCAAGAACGAGCUGUGCGUAUGAAAAUUCUAGGAAGUCAAUAACUGACCAGCACUAAACGCGCUUCUAGUUAACAGGAAUUCAAGCGACUUAUUAUUGCCGAAUUGUGAGCCCUUUUGGUUAAGAGAACCAUCUUAUUCCUUUGUCUAUGUAAACUAUUGUUUAAAAAGCAGUACAGGACGCCAUUGAUUAUCGCAGGUUCUGCAUUCACAAUUUCAGGCUUCCAAUUGUUCCUUGAUGGAUAGGCCACCUGCUGCUGAAGCAAAGAGAGAGAGGCACUUCCUGCAAUCAUUCUGCUCCUUGGGGUUGCAAUGUGGGAAGCAGAAGUUUCACAUUUUGUGCUUUUCCUGUUGUCAUUCUGAGACAGCUCCAGCAGUUCACAGCAUCAUUAUCAGCUGUCUGGUAUAAACAGAGGAGAGACAUUUUUAAAUCAGCAGCAGCAAUUUGUAAAUGAACAACAGAGACGUGGCUGAGAGCUUGGACCCCCUGGAGAAAAAGAGUCAAACUUGUACUUGAGCAGCAUCCAGUCAGCGUUGGUGACGCCCAGUCUUGACUAGCAGCCACUGGUAAUGAUUAGUAAAAUCCAUAGUACAGGCACCUAAAACAGACGGUUAUUUUCUAUGUCCUGGCCACUCCCAGCUUUUGUUGAAAUGAGGCUCCACAGAUUGGAUCUUGCAUUCAUUUGAUUUGAUUAUGUAUUCGUUUGUGGUCUGUGCAAGUACUGUGGCACUAUUUCCCACUAUUUUUUGCUUGAACUUCUUGUGCCAGUUUUCAAAAAUUUCUUUUCCUCUCCCUUCUCUCUGUACUCAAAAUUACAUAUAC